GCCCGCCUAGCUCAAUCGGAUAGAGCGUCAGACUCUUAGGCGGGUUGAUUCCACCUGUUCGGAAUCUGAAGGCUGCGAGUUCGACCCUCGCGGUGGGCU
rnacentral:tRNA from 1 species